rnacentral:misc_RNA from 1 species
CCCACGCGCUUGCGUAGUCUUGUCGUUUUUAUUGUUUGUCUCUUUUGUUCUCUCCUCCUCCUUUUAUCUUCGGCCCUUUUGUCUCUCCUCUUCUCACACCUCGGCCACGCCCGCUUCUGUGCUUUUCCUGGCACCCCUCCACGUCUUACUCCCCCGCAGCCCUCGCUCUUUCUUUCCUUUGCCUCUUUUUGCUUUGCUCAGUAGGAUCGAUUUCUUGCCACGCCCUGCCCGAAUCUCGCCUGUGUGCAUGGUGUAUCUGUACGCGUAGAUGUGUACGUGUGGAUGUGCGCGCGCACGCACUGAACAGCAUCCUUACUCGUCUUUGCCGUUUUCUUUGACUGCUGCGAUCCCGCACCCGGGCAUACAGCCCGACGUGCACUGGACCCCUCCCCUUCCAGUAACUCUGUAGAGGCACGCUGCUUGUUCUUAAUUCGCUCGGCAAACCUCGCAUUCCUUUUCGCGUUUUCUGUCGCUGGCGCGCUGAGCGCCGCAACGGUUUCCCGUUUCAUUUUCGUCGUGCUUGGCAGCUUUUCCUCUCUCUCCUCAUCAUCUGCUGGUCUUCGUAGGCUGCCGCUUACCGACUACGAUUGCCCAUCGCCACCACCACCAAUUUCUCUCGGAGAUUCUGAAGCGAUUCUGAAGCCGUUCAGCCAAAAGAAGACACCCGACCACCGUACGUGGACUCGAAACACACACACACACACACUAACGCACAGAGCGGCAUUCGACAACGCGCAGGGUACGCUGGCUUCACCUAAUCGGAGGAAUCAACUGACAGUCCUCGGGUAAGCACGAGCAAAGAAAAGCAAACGAAAAGGAAGGAUCAGAGAAAGAACCCAGAAGGUGCCACAACUGUUGUACUUUAACGUAUACUGUAGCGCCAUACACGAGAGACCCAGCGACUGGUGGACGCUUGCAGAGCAAUAGGCGGACGGACAGAAAGGCACGAGGCCAGGUCAAGGAGGGAGCAGAGAAGAAACGAAAAACGACCACCAAAGUAAGCCGUCUAUCAUUCCACAAAAUAAUUGAUCUGUUAGUUCGGUGGCUGCACACCCUGAUUGAUCCUAUGGUAGAGUGGGCGAACCUGUAGCCAUCGCCCCGGUUUUAUUCUUUUCCUACCUGCGCAGCAUCGUUGCCCCACGACUAGUAGUGCUGUUGCUCUUUCUUUCCUCAAAAGCGACACUUCCUCACGACUCCUCCCCCUUCCCAAAGGAGAACUGCUCACUUCUUGCUGCUCUUGCCUCUCUGCCCUUCCAACCCCAGUCUUCAUUGAGUUGCACGUUCUCUCGUCCAUCCACCGACUUGCCUUUGGUUUCACCAACACGUCGAGUUGUUCGAUUGAUCCUUUUUUCUGUGUAUGUGUUUGUUUUGUAAUCGUGUCUGCGUGCGGCACUCUUUUCAUCUGUGCGCUUGCAAGACCGCUUUGACGGUCGUGUGAAUCCUCUCCUUUCCUUUGUUUUGCCCACUGCCCUACUAGUCGGCUCGCCGCCGCGGGGCUGUUCGCAUACGAGAGUGUCUGUGCCUGUGUAUUCAUUCGUCGGUCUUCGUGCGCAAGUUUGUCUGUGUGUACGCAUUUCUCGCGCACCUUUUUUUUUGUUUUCGAUUCUUUGCUUCCGUUUUUCGCUUUUCGUCUCUGCGCCUUUCUUGCUUUCUUUCGCCUUUUUUUCUGUACUUGUUUUCCUUCAUCGUACCCGUCGCGUUUUCUUCCCCCUCCUCUCUACCCUCUGCUCGUUUCCACGGCUUUCAUCUCCUGCCACUCACCCCCUGCACCUCUGUCUCUCUCUCUCUCUUCUAUUCCUCGAUUGCUCAGUGUGCGCAGGGUGUACGAAAGCUUGUUUAUUUCUUUUUCUCGUGCGUUCUCUUGAACUUAUAUAGUGUAUUUUGCUGCUGUGCCUCGUCGUCGAGCUAGAGAGACGUUGGUGGUGUCUUUUUCUGUGCUCUCCCCUCUCCCCUUCCCUCCCCCUUCCGUGGUGUACUUUUGUAUGCUUCGUUUGACCUCACCAGUUGUGUUCCCGUCGUCUUUUGUGUUGCUGUCAGCCAUUCUUUCCCCACCCCACCUCACCCUUGCCUGUCUGUCUGUCUGCGUGUGUUUUCUGAAGUACUGCCCAUCUUUAUUAGGCUCUUUUUCUGGCCCCCGUCGUGUGCGACGUAACCGGAGAGAGACGCAAACAACAAACAGGAAAGCGGGCUCAUAGGCACAGGCACACACAAACAACAAAUCGGUACGUCGACCACCACCACCACCAUAACACAGAAAACGAAAAUAAAGCCGUGGUGUUGUGAGCUGAGGGCACCGUUCUGCUGAGCGUUCCUGCUCAGUUUUGCCGGUUUCUUCACCCCCCCCCCUUCUCCCUUUCUCGAUUACCUUUUCUUUUGGGGCUCUCCACGCCUGGGCUGUGGCGUCUGUUUUCCGUCACACUCAUCAAUCAAUAUCCAUCUGCUUUUUUGUUGUUAGUACAAGUUUUAUUUUUCUGGGCAUUCUCUUGCAAUUCUUGCUAUUCGCCCUUGGUAUCAUUCAUUGCUCGCGUGAGGCCGCCUUUUUUGCUGUGUCGACGGCCCACAGCGACAAGCAGCAGAGGUGGUAAAGAAGAUCACAGAAAGAAACACGAGGCACUGAACAGACGGCUUGUGCGAACCCCAUUUCGUUGAAUACAUAAACAC